GCCCCCAUAGCUCAAUGGAUAGCAGCAUCCGCCUUCUAAGCGGACGAUCCAGGUUCGAUUCCUGGUGGGGGCA
rnacentral:tRNA from 1 species